rnacentral:rRNA from 1 species
AGUAAUGUCUGGGAAACUGCCUGAUGGAGGGGGGUAACUACUGGGAACGGUAGCUAAUACCGCAUAACGUCGCAAGACCAAAGUGGGGGACCUUCGGGCCUCAUGCCAUCAGAUGUGCCCAGAUGGGAUUAGCUAGUAGGUGGGGUAACGGCUCACCUAGGCGACGAUCCCUAGCUGGUCUGAGAGGAUGACCAGCCACACUGGAACUGAGACACGGUCCAG